rnacentral:rRNA from 1 species
UACGAAGGGGGCUAGCGUUGCUCGGAAUGACUGGGCGUAAAGGGCGCGUAGGCGGAUGGUACAGUCAGAUGUGAAAUUCCUGGGCUUAACCUGGGGGCUGCAUUUGAUACGUAUUGUCUAGAGUGAGGAAGAGGGUCGUGGAAUUCCCAGUGUAGAGGUGAAAUUCGUAGAUAUUGGGAAGAACACCGGUGGCGAAGGCGGCGACCUGGUCCUUACUGACGCUGAGGCGCGAAA